UACGUAGGGUCCAAGCGUUAAUCGGAAUUACUGGGCGUAAAGCGUGCGCAGGUGGUUACGCAAGUCUGAUGUGAAAUCCCCGGGCUCAACCUGGGAACUGCAUUGGAGACUGCGUGGCUAGAGUGUGGCAGAGGGGGGUGGAAUUCCGCGUGUAGCAGUGAAAUGCGUAGAGAUGCGGAGGAACACCAAUGGCGAAGGCAGCCCCCUGGGCUAACACUGACGCUCAGGCACGAAAGCGUGGGGAGCAAACAGG
rnacentral:rRNA from 1 species